UACGAAGGGUGCAAACGUUGCUCGGAAUUAUUGGGCGUAAAGCGCACGUAGGCGGCUCUGUAAGUCGGAUGUGAAAUCCCUCGGCUUAACCGAGGAACUGCCCUCCAAACUGCUAGGCUUGAGUCCGGGAGAGGUGAGUGGAAUUCCCAGUGUAGCGGUGAAAUGCGUAGAUAUCGAGAGGAACACCGGUGGCGAAGGCGGCCUUCUGGACAGUGACUGACGCUGAGACGCGAAAGCGUGGGGAGCAAACAGG
rnacentral:rRNA from 1 species